AUUGAACGCUGGCGGCAUGCCUUACACAUGCAAGUCGAACGGUAACAGGUCUUCGGAUGCUGACGAGUGGCGAACGGGUGAGUAAUACAUCGGAACGUGCCUAGUAGUGGGGGAUAACUACUCGAAAGAGUGGCUAACACCGCAUGAGAUCUACGGAUGAAAGCAGGGGAUCGCAAGACCUUGUGCUACUAGAGCGGCCGAUGGCAGAUUAGGUAGUUGGUGGGAUAAAAGCUUACCAAGCCGACGAUCUGUAGCUGGUCUGAGAGGACGAUCAGCCACACUGAGACGGAGACACGGCCCAGACUCGUACGGGAGGCAGCAGUGGGGAAUUUUGGACAAUGGGCGAAAGCCUGAUCCAGCAAUGCCGCGUGCAGGAUGAAGGCCUUCGGGUUGUAAACUGCUUUUGUACGGAACGAAAAGCCCCGGGUUAAUACCCUGGGGUCAUGACGGUACCGUAAGAAUAAGCACCGGCUAACUACGUGCCAGCAGCCGCGGUAA
rnacentral:rRNA from 1 species